UACGUAGGGUGCAAGCGUUGUCCGGAAUUAUUGGGCGUAAAGAGCUCGUAGGCGGUUUGUCGCGUCUGCUGUGAAAACUCAGGGCUUAACCCUGAGCCUGCAGUGGGUACGGGCAGACUAGAGUGUGGUAGGGAGAUCGGAAUUCCUGGUGUAGCGGUGGAAUGCGCAGAUAUCAGGAGGAACACCGGUGGCGAAGGCGGAUCUCUGGGACGGUACUGACGCUGAGACGCGAAAGCGUGGGGAGCGAACAGG
rnacentral:rRNA from 1 species